AGGACUGCCAGCCUGCCGACAGCCUCCGCAGAAACUCCGCACACCCUUCUGUUGAGCGUUCUGAGGAAGUAACCAUCUUCAGACAGGGAAGUUUUUGCUGAACUGGAAAAACAGUCGGAGUGUUUUGCCUUCACUCCAUCACCGAAUAGCAGGUGUCCAGGUUCUGGUUGCCUGUUACACUUCAGAGUCAUGAAGUCUUAUUAGACAUGUUGCGUUCAGUCUGCAGAGUCACGUUUCCUACAUCAUCAUACCUGACUUCACCUUGAGGAAAUGUCGUUCAGAUUUGGCCAACAUCUCAUCAAGCCCUCGGUGGUGUUUCUCAGAACAGAACUGUCCUUUGCCCUGGUGAACAGGAAGCCUGUGGUACCUGGACGUAUCCUUUUUAGUAAGAGAGAAAACAGACCAAAUGAACACAGACAUUAACCUCUAGUAUCCAA